rnacentral:lncRNA from 1 species
AUGGUUAAAAUGUGCUGUUAUAAUCUGAUGAAGCCACUGGUGCAUAUGCCGUCUACUGUUGCCCAAAGUGGCAUUAUGUGGGGCAUGACUGUAAAGCAAACAUGGACAGAUCCAGGGGGAGAAAUAGCAACGCUACAAUAUGGGAGACUCCAGAACCCCACUACAGUCAUGGGCAGACCAUCCGGACAGAAAGUCGAUGAGGAAACAGCCGACAUACACAGCGCUGCAAACCCAGCGGACCUGACAUUCUCCCCCCAACCUCUGUGCUCUGCCACCAGCUCGUUUAGGCAAUACGGUAACGGCGAUGAAACUGAAGACACACAAGGAAGUGGGGUUUGCAGCGUGUUUUCCAUACGGCAAAAAACAUGGAAACAAAAUGAAUGCUCAUUCAUGAAAGAGGAAAUUAGGGCUCACCUCCGUGUCCCCAGCUGUGCCCAGUAUAGCUAAGGAAAUGUUGAAGGCACCUGCUAGCCCUCUUGCUGAGGCAGGAAAACCACCAACCCUGCCAUGAAAAUAACAUUUGGAACUGUUAGUUCUGUUUUUUAUUUAUUUAGUAUCCUGCCAGUGAUCACAACAAUCUCAAAAGAUGCCAUUCAUUGCAAGCCAGCGUUGAGCCCAGCAUUCAGAUUCUAUCAUUUCAUCCUCAGAAAGUUCCCAAGACGUGCCUGGUGCGCUGGCUUUGCCGAUAAACAAACGGAAGCUCCCUGCAGCACAGUGACUCCUGCAGCCUGGCCUGGCCGUGUGAGGAAGGACAGGGUGAGGCUGAGAGCAGCAGUGCGGUACGGGCCCUGUGCAGGAAGCACGAGCUCAGCUCCCAGGUCUGCCCUCUCCAGGUGUGACCUGGAGCAAGUUAUCACACUUUUUUUUUGCCUGGGUUUUCCAUUUGCAUAAAUGAGGAUUAUGACAAUACCUACCUCAAAACAUUAGAAAUGCCUGCUCAGCCAAAAAUACAGAAGUGAAGGAACAGACUGUGGUGGGAUCCGCGCAGUACAGGAAUCUGACUGAGGACUCACUUUGUUCAGAACAUGUUGCCUAUAACGAAUUUCCAUACAUCAACAAUAAAAACAUGCACAGACUAAUGAAAAGGUGGGCA